CGAGCGCUGGGCCGCCCGCAGCCGGAGAGUGUCGCCCCUCCUGAAGGCCCUGGGCAGGUGAAAUGAGGACCAGCGCUGACAAAGGGCAGGAUGCAGAAGACUCCUGACUUUGGAUCUCAGAUCACCCUCGGAAGCUCCGAUUCGGAUCCGCGUCCACAGACCCGGCGACCUCAGACAGACCGGGCGUCCGGGGAAGAGGCGGCGGCAGUGAGCACCGCAGUGAGGAAACCAGGCUCCGGCGAUCCCCAGGCCUUACGCCCGACCCCAGGGCAUUUGGGAGCAGGUCUGCGUCCGGGACCAGCACACUCUGGACGGGAGCUCUGCCUUUCUGGGGUCCUCCAGCUGAAGGAUGUGAGUUGCAAGAAACCCAUUCUGUAGACCUCGAAAUCAGCGGGGAGCCCCAGGCACUUGUGGGGGGACUUUGAUGUGGCUCCCACGCAUCCACCCGGCACCGCGUGGAUUGCCAGGGGCAGGACGAGCUUGAGUGGACGCUGGGUUCGCUGAGCCCCCCAGAGGCUCCUCGCCCUGGGUCACCUGUGCCGCCUUGGACCACCCAGAGAAACCUUUCCUCCCACCAGGUGAGCCGCAGGCCAGGCGCCAGGCCUGAGUGUGCCCGGGACGGGGAUUUCUCUGUGAACGGCCCAUCAUCCCAUAAUAUCCACGUUGUCUUAGCCUCAUGUUCUGAAGAAACACGAAUUUCAUACACAAGCGUGGAUUUUUGCAUGUUUUAAAUUGUAAAUGCGACUAACUCCAAGGAAGUUGGAACUUGAAGCAGGCUCAAAGCAAACUUAGUCGCGUCAUCCGCCACCAUCCUCCAGGGUAAACCGAGGAGCACAGUUAAUUGGUUUUCCACGGGUAUUUGCCACUUGUCAGAUGGGCUGUUAUGGACGUAACCACGUAAUUCCUGGAACCCAGUGAGAGUCAGCUUCCUUUACGGGCGUCUGACAAGAUGUGCUCAAACACCUUGAAGAUCUUUAUGGAAACAACUUUUGGCUCUUUAUCAAGAUGUCAUUCAGGGCUCUGAACAGUCGAAUACGUUGUGGAUGGGUUUGCUGUAGUUAUACAGUGUGCAUUUGAUACUUGUCAAUAGCGCUAGUAAUGUUAUUGCAAAAAUAAAACCUUCUUUAAAAAAGAGGCCGGGCGUGAGCCACGGUGCCCUGCCGGGACUCAAUUUUUAACACCUAUUUUUAACACUAGCUUUUGUGCUAGUAAAUUAAAUUAAUUCUUUUAAAAAAACCCAAUUGUGUGUACUUUAACAAGUAAAACUAAGUUGGUUAUAAUGUGACAAAAAUACAAGCAAUAAUAAUAGCAAAAUUAUCCAAUAGGAACCAUGCAGAGAGUUUUAUAUUAUAACUCAUGUCCCCUUUCCUGCAAUGUUAUUAACUUCUAUCCCCAUUUUCCACAUCAAGGAAAUUAAGUUUGGAGACACAGAGUGACUUACCUAAGUCACAGGUCUGGUAGGUGGAGAGUUUCUCUCACUCCAGGGACCACAAUCUACAAAAUAAACUUGCAUAUUCUACAAAAUAUUUGUUACCAUUGGAAGUAGGUAGGCAGAGUGUUACUAGCAUCAAAUUAUGGCAGGAAUAAAAAGAAAGGGUGGUGGGCUGGUCUUGCUUCUGCAGUUUAAGGGGGAUCCCUGCGCCGAGAUGUCUGGCUAAGUGGUCGUUGUAACAAGUGGCAGAGAUGGUGAAAACAUCAGGGAGCAGGUGGUGGCUGUUCCAGUUUCUUAUCUCAGGAGGGAAGAGCUGCAGAUGUCUUUACUGUGAAUGAGGGAGAGAAACGCUAAAGCACAGAAAUGUUCAGAACCAAAGAGCUGGAUCACUCAUGCUUCUAGAAAAGACAUUGGCAUCUUCUCAUUGCUCAUCUACUGUGCCUGGCACAGCCUUAUUUUCUAGCUUUCUGAAUGUGAGUUCCAUCCAUAUCCUUUGCAUAACGGUGGUACUGGGCUGUGGAGAGCUUGGAAUGUGUGUCCAUGGGGAAAUGGGCUGUUCUGGUUAUUAUAAAACGGCCAAGGGAGGGCUCCAUGGCACACCUCUGAGUAACCCAGGACACUCCUGUUUGGGAAAUGCAAACCAUCCAUACGGCAGGGGCACAAUUAUAAAGAUUGAUCCUGUCACGGGAAUGGUUUCAAAUCUGACCAACCUCAUGGCAUACAUUGGGGAAGCAAUUGUGAAACCCCUUGAUUCUUUGGAUCUGGACAUGCUGUACUGUGACAAUGGUUUGUGUGUGACAGAAAAUGUAGCUGUGUCUACCGGGAAAGACUGGGGAAAUUUCUUCCUGUGGAGUUCUUUAUAAAGCAAAAGUGCAUGAAACUGUCAGUAAUAUUGUAGUCUAUAAAGGGAAAUUGCUCUUAGAGGCUAAUAUUGCACAAUGACUACUUUUUUUGCUUAUUUGGAAAAGAUCUUUAUCUCUUGGAGUAUUAAGAAGUCAACAUAUAAUUGCCACCCUAUACAUUGUGUUCUGGAGUGCCUGAUUUAUUGAAAUCAGUGUGAAACCUAUUUUAAAUAAAUAUCUAUUUCAAAACCAA
ensembl:lncRNA novel transcript